rnacentral:rRNA from 1 species
AUUGAACGCUGGCGGCAGGCCUAACACAUGCAAGUCGAGCGGAUGACGGGAGCUUGCUCCUUGAUUCAGCGGCGGACGGGUGAGUAAUGCCUAGGAAUCUGCCUGGUAGUGGGGGACAACGUUCCGAAAGGGGCGCUAAUACCGCAUACGUCCUACGGGAGAAAGUGGGGGAUCUUCGGACCUCACGCUAUCAGAUGAGCCUAGGUCGGAUUAGCUAGUUGGUGAGGUAAAGGCUCACCAAGGCGACGAUCCGUAACUGGUCUGAGAGGAUGAUCAGUCAAACUGGAACUGAGACACGGUCCAGACUCCUACGGGAGGCAGCAGUGGGGAAUAUUGGACAAUGGGCGAAAGCCUGAUCCAGCCAUGCCGCGUGUGUGAAGAAGGUCUUCGGAUUGUAAAGCACUUUAAGUUGGGAGGAAGGGCAGUAAGUUAAUACCUUGCUGUUUUGACGUUACCGACAGAAUAAGCACCGGCUAACUCUGUGCCAGCAGCCGCAGUAAGAC